UACGUAGGGUGCAAGCGUUGUCCGGAAUUAUUGGGCGUAAAGAGCUCGUAGGCGGUUUGUCGCGUCUGCUGUGAAAAUCCAGGGCUUAACCCUGGACCUGCAGUGGGUACGGGCAGACUAGAGUGCGGUAGGGGAGAUCGGAAUUCCUGGUGUAGCGGUGAAAUGCGCAGAUAUCAGGAGGAACACCGGUGGCGAAGGCGGAUCUCUGGGCCGUAACUGACGCUGAGGAGCGAGAGCAUGGGGAGCGAACAGG
rnacentral:rRNA from 1 species